rnacentral:lncRNA from 10 species
AGUAAAAUUAAGUAUCAUGCCCCAAAGUUCUCUGCUUAGUAAGAAGUAGAGGCAAGCCCAAACCUAAGUCAUCUGAUUUCAGAGCCCAUACAGUUAAAUGCUCUAAAUGCAGCUUCCCGUGAUGAUGGUGACUAUGAGAGCCUGUCACAUAUGAUGUAGGACAGUGCUUCCCUGUAACAUGCACAAGAUUCCCGUGAUGAUGGUGACUCUGAGACCCUGUCACCUACGAUGUAGGACAGUGCUUCCCUGUAACAUGUGCAAGAUCCCAUGAUGAUGGUGAUUAUGAGAGCCUGUCACCUACGAUGUAGGACAGUCCUUCCCUGUAACAUGCACAAGAUUCCUGUGAUGAUGGUGACUAUGAGAGCCUGUCACAUGAUGUAGGACAGUGCUUCCCUGUAACAUGUGCAAGAUUCCCGUGAUGAUGGUGACUAUGAGAGCCUGUCACAUAUGAUGUAGGACAGUGCUUCCCUGUAACAUGUGCAAGAUUCCCAUGAUGAUGGUGACUAUGAGAGCCUGUCACAUAGGAUGUAGGACAGUGCUUCCCUGUAACAUGCACAAGAUUCACCCAGGGAUCUCUUUAAAAUGCAAAACCAUAGACCACACUUUGACUGGCUUGGAUAAGGGGUCAGAGCAUCGAAAUGAGUGUGUAGGUGACUGUGCUAAAAUUCUCCUGCUCAUGUGGGCACUGGCUCAUGAUAUUAACAAAGCUUAGGACCUCUAGUCCUUUCUGGAAAGAAAAUACACAUACAUAGCAUGUGACUGUGCAUAUGGAAUAUCUGUUGUGUUCUGGACAUUGUGCUGGACAACAGAGAUAAGAAGUCAAAUAUCCCUUGUCUCUAUCUGAAAGGAGCUUCC